AGAGGGCGACAUCAUCCAGUAGGCGGUGCACUACUUCUGCUCUGUGUUCAACCAUUCUGUCAAUAAUAACUGCUGCUGUGAAGAGAACAACUCUCACACUGAAUGUUGAACAGCAGCUAGUUUCUCCUGUUCAUUUAAACCUUGUUGCAGAGAUGGAACAUCGGCUGUGGAUUAUUCUUGCUGCUCUGUUCUGUGAGUGUAAAGGAGCAGACAGAGUGAUCCAGCCAACAGGAGAUGUCAUUGCUGCUGAAGGAGACACAGUUACACUGGACUGCACAUUUGAGACCAGUAACCCAGGUUAUUAUCUCUUCUGGUACAAACAGGAUGGAAACAACAGCCCCAAAUUCAUGCUGAGCUGCUCUCAGUUUGGUGCGGGGAACACAGAGAAGGAAUAUGAGGAGAGAUUUUCAUCCAAAGUGAAUUCUACCUCAAACUCAGUUCCUCUGAAGAUCCAGAAGCUUCAGCUGUCUGACUCUGCUGUGUACUACUGUGCUCUGCAGCCCACAGUGACAGGAAACACCAAAACUCUGUACAAAAACCUUUGGAGCAAAGACAACACAAUACUCCACAACAUCCACUAGAGGGAGUCACACACUGUUAAACUGCAGCUGGAUGGUCUAUGACAUUUACCAUCUGUGGACUCAAAAACUCACAAACACAAAAGAGUUGAACUGAUGAAUUCUCUGUGUGAGAUCAUUGCGCUACACGACAG